CAUAGCGACUAUCGUGGCAUAUCAAUAAGCGGAGGAAAAGAAACUAACAAGGAUUCCCCUAGUAACGGCGAGUGAAGCGGGAAGAGCUCAAAUUUGAAAUCUUAAAGGGUUUCCCUUUACGAAUUGUAGUUUAAAGAAGUGUUUUCUGUUGGAGUUUCGGUAAAAGUUCUUUGGAAUAGGACAUCAUAGAGGGUGAGAAUCCCGUAUUUGACCGUUACUUUCUAGCUUUGUGAUACACUUUCAACGAGUCGGAUUGUUUGGGAAUGCAGUCCAAAAUGGGUGGUAAAUUUCAUCUAAAGCUAAAUAUUGGCGAGAGACCGAUAGCGAACAAGUACCGUGAGGGAAAGAUGAAAAGAACUUUGAAAAGAGAGUUAAACAGUACGUGAAAUUGUCAAAAGGGAAGCGUUUGACACCAGUGUUGUUUUUCCGAAAAUCAAUUACGAAUGUUUUAUUUUUGAGAAGUUAUGACUUCAUCGGCUUGCUUCUCUCUUUAUGAAACUUUCUUAAUGCACUUUUCGGUUAACAAGUCAACAUCAAUUUCUUUUGUUGUAAAAGGGUACGAGGAAGGUGGCUUUCUUUUCGGAGAAAGUGUUUAUAGCCUUGUACCUCUGCAAUCGGAGAGAUUGAGGUCUGCAGCGUAGACCCUUCGGGGUUAGAUACAUUUGUGCUAAGUUAUAGCUUUUCAUAGACAACUUGUUGACUAUGUUUAGUCUUGUAGCUUACUCGCUUAUGCUAUUUUACCUACGCUUAGGAUGUUGAUAGUCACAGCGUGUAC
rnacentral:rRNA from 1 species